AGUGAACGCUGGCGGUAGGCCUAACACAUGCAAGUCGAACGGCAGCACAGUAAGAGCUUGCUCUUACGGGUGGCGAGUGGCGGACGGGUGAGGAAUACAUCGGAAUCUACUUUUUCGUGGGGGAUAACGUAGGGAAACUUACGCUAAUACCGCAUACGACCUACGGGUGAAAGCAGGGGAUCUUCGGACCUUGCGCGAUUGAAUGAGCCGAUGUCGGAUUAGCUAGUUGGCGGGGUAAAGGCCCACCAAGGCGACGAUCCGUAGCUGGUCUGAGAGGAUGAUCAGCCACACUGGAACUGAGGCACGGUCCAGACUCCUACGGGAGGCAGCAGGGGGGAAUAUUGGACAAAGGGCGCAAGCCUGAUCCAGCCAUACCGCGUGGGGGAAGAAGGCCUUCGGGUUGUAAAGCCCUUUUGUUGGGAAAGAAAAGCAGCAGGUUAAUACCCCGCUGUUCUGACGGUACCCAAAGAAUAAGCACCGGCUAACUUCGUG
rnacentral:rRNA from 1 species